rnacentral:rRNA from 1 species
UACGAAGGGGGCGAGCGUUGUUCGGAAUCACUGGGCGUAAAGGGCGCGUAGGCGGGAUGGCAAGUCGGUCGUGAAAUCCUUCGGCUCAACCGAAGAACGUCGGCCGAUACUGCCGUUCUUGAGGGAUGCAGAGGAGAUUGGAAUUCCCGGUGUAGCGGUGAAAUGUGUAGAGAUCGGGAGGAACACCGGUGGCGAAGGCGGGUCUCUGGGCAUCUCCUGACGCUGAGGCGCGAAAGCGUGGGGAGCAAACGGG